rnacentral:tRNA from 1 species
CUCCGCAUAGCACAGUCUGGUAGUGCGCUUGAUUUGGGAUCAAGAGGUCGUAGGUUCAAGUCCUACUGUGGAGACCA